rnacentral:sRNA from 1 species
UUUUUGCAUGAAGGAUAGGAGCGGCAUCCUUUAGGGCGCUUUUUUGGCGGCCUAAAGAUAUAGCGUAUAGCCUGACCGGAG